UGAAGAAAAAGGCGAAGAAGGCAGGC
rnacentral:piRNA from 2 species